rnacentral:rRNA from 1 species
AUUGAACGCUGGCGGCAGGCCUAACACAUGCAAGUCGAACGAGCGGCGGACGGGUGAGUAAUGUCUGGGAAACUGCCUGAUAGAGGGGGAUAACUACUGGAAACGGUGGCUAAUACCGCAUACCAUCGGAUGUACCCAUAUGGGAUUAGCUAGUAGGUGGGGUAAAGGCUCACCUAGGCGACGAUCCCUAGCUGGUCUGAGAGGAUGACCAGCCACACUGGGACUGAGACACGGCCCAGACUCCUACGGGAGGCAGCAGUGGGGAAUAUUGCACAAUGGGCGCAAGCCUGAUGCAGCCAUGCCGCGUGUAUGAAGAAGGCCUUCGGGUUGUAAAGUACUUUCAGCGGGGAGGCGUUACCCGCAGAAGAAGCACCGGCUAACUCCGUGCCAGCAGCCGCGGUAAUUC